rnacentral:rRNA from 1 species
UACAGAGGGUGCGAGCGUUGUCCGGAAUCACUGGGCGUAAAGGGCGCGUAGGCGGCCUGAUAAGUCGGGGGUGAAAUCCUGUGGCUCAACCACAGGGCUGCCUCCGGGACUGUCGGGCUCGAGCACAGUAGAGGCAGGUGGAAUUCCCGGUGUAGCGGUGGAAUGCGUAGAGAUCGGGAAGAACAUCGGUGCGAAGGCGGCCUGCUGGGCUGUGCUGACGCUGAGGCGCGACAGCGUGGGGAGCAACAGGAU